rnacentral:lncRNA from 1 species
UUUAAGCAUAAGGCCCUCCGAAUAUCUUUUGAUUUUGCAAACACACUCAUUUUUCCACUCUCACUCUUUUGUAUUUUUUUACUACUUUCUCCUUCAUUUUCAUACUCUUUCUUUUCUUUACUCAUCUCAUUUUCUUUUCUCUCUUUAUUUUUCUUUUUUUUACAAUCAACAAACUUAUCUUUUUCAAAAGACUCACGCAAUUUAAUUUGAUCUUCUAAUACUUGUUUUGGCGUAAGGGGUGCCAAAGUGAUGUUUCUCCCUUGGAACCGGAAAGAGUACCGAUUCGUAUAUCCGUCAUGAGUAACUCGCC